AAAUAAUAAUAGUGUCUGGCAUUAGAUGGAUCACCCGGUACCCAUAUAAUGUAUUGGCUUAACCUUGUAUUUCACGAUAAUAUAUUAAUAUUGUUCCCCACCAGGCAGCCCUACGUGUUUUUAUCACAAAUAUUUUAUACUUGUAGGUAUUUUACAUCAUCGAAGACAUCUACUACUAUAAUCAUAUAUUAUUGCACAGAAUAUUUAUAAAAAUACAUCUUAUUUCAUACUAAAAAAAAUAUAUUUUCCAUCGCGAAUCUCGUUUUUUCAAGAACACACAUUGAUCCGUUAGCCACUAGUACGUACGCGCGUGUAGUUUGCCGUAAAUAAUAUAUAUAUAUUAUAUAGUUUUUAAUUUCUCGUUCUCAACACCGAUCCACCGAUUUACGUAUUUUGAAAAGUAGUUUUCGCAUAAAAUAUCAGCUGUCGGUUGAUUAAUAUAGCGCCAGUGGUGCGCAAUUUUUUUUUGUUCCACGACCCCCAAUAUUAUUUAUUUUUAUAUACAGCUUAUAGUCAAUGAACUACCGAAUGAAUUUCGGUCGUUCUUGACCGUAAGCAUAUAAAGUCGGUGUAUUCAUAGGUAUUUUUGCCUAUAUUAUAGUUUUUUAUUCGCUUACCUUACAGGAAAUCCAUUGAUUCUAUAAUACUGGCUGCGGAUUCAUUCAAUCGAUCGUUAGAUGAUAUUAUGUGUACGUACAUAUAGACGUUAACUUUUGAGACUACCUACUUAAUAACAAUAAUAUUUAAAUGCUAUAAAAAAAGGAUGCAAUAAACAAAUAAAAAAUCACUUAAAAGUAAAAAUGAAAAGAAGUAUCUACGAUUAUGGUUUUUGAUUAACAACAAAAUAAGAAAAUAGUUGUAUGAACAUUAGUUAAUUUAUGGGUGAAUAUCUAAUGUCUAACUUCAAAAUCUCGUAAGCAAUUAAUUCGUCAUUCGGGAAACAGAAGCUACAGGAUUUUAAUGUUGAUAACGUUUUUUUAAACUCAUAUUAUAAUGGUUUUAGCAACCACCUGAAUAUUUUCCUAACAUUGGAUGACGACAUUCGUUUAUUAUUUUGAAUAAUUUUUUACUUACCUUUUGCUGGGCUGUAAAUGUUUUUUUGUGUUUCUGAAUGUUAAGCAAAGAUCUUCUAGUAUAAUAAUGAUUAAAAUUGGGAAAAAAGGGAAUUUUCGACAAAUUUCAUUUUUGUUUUAUUUUGUGUAAAUCAAAACUCGCGAAUAAUUUAUUAUUAAUUAUAGUUAUACAAUAUAUCCCCAAGAGCCGUUCGUUUUUACAGUAACGAAAUAUCAAUUACCCACAUAUAUUGUAUAUAAAAUAAAUAUAUAACUAUGUAUAAGAAAUUAUUACCUACUUCUGGCUACCUGCACAUAUAAGUAUACUGGAGGUGGGUGUCCCCACCAAUAUCUUGUCCGAUGAGGAGCUAAGCGACUUUUUUUUUUUAAGUAAUGAUGGGAUGAUGGGUGUUGGGAGGGGAUAGAUUUAUGAGACGGUAAGACGUGUGCCUCCAGCGGCAUAACACCUUAACACGACACUGUAUAUUAUAACGGCGGGCAACAGAACUAAAUCACUAGUCACUACCUCAACAAAACCAAUACAUCGCCGCUUUGUAAACCGUUAAAUAUUAAAUACACUCAUAAAGUUUAUUCUUAAAUGUGUGAAUUAGUAUCAACAUUAUAUUAUAUUAUAUAUAUUAAGUCGUGGAACAUCCUGUAGGUAUAUAUGUAAAUUUAAUGAUUCUUUUGCGAUUCAGGAGUAAGUUUUGUAUCACGUUUGUGUUCAAGCCAAUUACAUCUCAAUACGGUUAUUGAGGCCGGACAAGGUUUGGAUAUAAAUACCACUAUGGCGUCCAUUUUAUUGUUAGUAUACGUUUAAUAAGCGUAAGAUAUAAUAUCAUAUAAUAUAUAUAUUUUUAUCGUUAUACCCAGUGAAACUCUAUUUUGUUAUUUUACCAUAAGUUCCAACUUAAAUUAAAUUUUUUUUUGACUUCUUGCUCAGACAUUUUUCCAGUACACGAACACAUCGUGUCAAAAGUUCAGCUGAUAAGAAUUACACAAAUGCCCAAACAUAAAGUCUUACGGAUGAGGUCGACGACGUAACUAUGUAUUUUUAUUAUUUUACCCAUUCACAUUAUAUUCUAUGUGAUUUGUUAGA